rnacentral:rRNA from 1 species
ACGGAAGGCAGCAGUGGGGAAUAUUGCACAAUGGGGGAAACCCUGAUGCAGCGACGCCGCGUGAGUGAAGAAGUUAUUCGUAAUGUAAAGCUCUAUCAGCAGGGAAGAAAAUGACGGUACCUGACUAAGAAGCCCCGGCUAACUACGUGCCAGCAGCCGCGGUAAUACGUAGGGGGCAAGCGUUAUCCGGAUUUACUGGGUGUAAAGGGAGCGUAGACGGUCUGGCAAGUCUGAUGUGAAAGGCAGGGGCUCAACUCCUGGACUGCAUUGGAAACUGUCAGUCUUGAGUGUCGGAGAGGUAAGCGGAAUUCCUAGUGUAGCGGUGAAAUGCGUAGAUAUUAGGAGGAACACCAGUGGCGAAGGCGGCUUACUGGACGAUAACUGACGUUGAGGCUCGAAAGCGUGGGGAGCAGACAGGAUUAGAUACCCUGGUA